AAACUAAGAAUACCAUCAAGUGGUUCCUCGGGAGACAGACAGCGGGUGCUAACGUCCGUUGUCAAGAGGGAAACAACCCAGACCGCCAGCUAAGGUCCCAAAUGAUAGAUUAAGUGGUAAACGAAGUGGGAAGGCCCAGACAGCCAGGAUGUUGGCUUAGAAGCAGCCAUCAUUUAAAGAAAGCGUAAUAGCUCACUGGUCGAGUCGUCCUGCGCGG
rnacentral:rRNA from 1 species